rnacentral:snRNA from 1 species
GGAUGUGAGGGCGAUCUGGCUGCAACAUCUGUCACCCCAUUGAUCGCCAGGGUUGAUUCGGCUGAUCUGGCUGGCUAGGCAGGUGUCCCCUUCCUCCCUCACCGCUCCAUGUGCGUCCCUCUCGAAGCUGCACAUGCGCCCGGUCGAAGAGGACGACUCCCCCCAAAGGAGGAGCGGUCUUCGGUCAAGGGCAUAGGAGUAGCUGAGCUCCCCUGCUAGAACCUCCAGACAAGCUCAUAUAGUAUUUUUAAGGAACCAAAAUAUGUAUAGCCAAGAUAAGUACCAAGCUU